rnacentral:rRNA from 1 species
GGUUAAGCGACUAAGCGUACACGGUGGAUGCCCUGGCAGUCAGAGGCGAUGAAGGACGUGCUAAUCUGCGAAAAGCGUCGGUAAGGUGAUAUGAACCGUUACAGCCGGCGAUGUCCGAAUGGGGAAACCCAGUGCAAUUCGUUGCACUAUCGUUUGAUGAAUACAUAGUCAAACGAGGCGAACCGGGGGAACUGAAACAUCUAAGUACCCCGAGGAAAAGAAAUCAACCGAGAUUCCCCCAGUAGCGGCGAGCGAACGGGGAGCAGCCCGGAGUCUGAAUCAGCUUGUGUGUUAGUGGAAGCGUCUGGAAAGUCGCAGGGUACAGGGUGAUACUCCCGUACACUAAAACGCACAGGUUGUGAACUCGAAGAGUAGGGCGGGACACGUGGUAUCCUGUCUGAAUAUGGGGGGACCAUCCUCCAAGGCUAAAUACUCCUGACUGACCGAUAGUGAACCAGUACCGUGAGGGAAAGGCGAAAAGAACCCCGGCGAGGGGAGUGAAAAAGAACCUGAAACCGUGUACGUACAAGCAGUAGGAGCCCACUAGUUGGGUGACUGCGUACCUUUUGUAUAAUGGGUCAGCGACUUAUAUUCUGUAGCAAGGUUAACCGUAUAGGGGAGCCGCAGGGAAACCGAGUCUUAACUGGGCGUUAAGUUGCAGGGUAUAGACCCGAAACCCGGUGAUCUAGCCAUGGGCAGGUUGAAGGUUGGGUAACACUAACUGGAGGACCGAACCGACUAAUGUUGAAAAAUUAGCGGAUGACUUGUGGCUGGGGGUGAAAGGCCAAUCAAACCGGGAGAUAGCUGGUUCUCCCCGAAAGCUAUUUAGGUAGCGCCUCGUGAACUCAUCUUCGGGGGUAGAGCACUGUUUCGGCUAGGGGGUCAUCCCGACUUACCAACCCGAUGCAAACUACGAAUACCGAAGAAUGUUAUCACGGGAGACACACGGCGGGUGCUAACGUCCGUCGUGAAGAGGGAAACAACCCAGACCGCCAGCUAAGGUCCCAAAGUCAUGGUUAAGUGGGAAACGAUGUGGGAAGGCCCAGACAGCCAGGAUGUUGGCUUAGAAGCAGCCAUCAUUUAAAGAAAGCGUAAUAGCUCACUGGUCGAGUCGGCCUGCGCGGAAGAUGUAACGGGGCUAAACCAUGCACCGAAGCUGCGGCAGCGACACUAUGUGUUGUUGGGUAGGGGAGCGUUCUGUAAGCCGUUGAAGGUGGCCUGUGAGGGUUGCUGGAGGUAUCAGAAGUGCGAAUGCUGACAUAAGUAACGAUAAUGCGGGUGAAAAACCCGCACGCCGGAAGACCAAGGGUUCCUGUCCAACGUUAAUCGGGGCAGGGUGAGUCGACCCCUAAGGCGAGGCCGAAAGGCGUAGUCGAUGGGAAACAGGUUAAUAUUCCUGUACUCGGUGUUACUGCGAAGGGGGGACGGAGAAGGCUAUGUUGGCCGGGCGACGGUUGUCCCGGUUUAAGCAUGUAGGCGGAUGUUCCAGGUAAAUCCGGAACGUUACUAACGCUGAGGUGUGAUGACGAGGCACUACGGUGCUGAAGUGACAAAUGCCCUGCUUCCAGGAAAAGCCUCUAAGCAUCAGGUAACAUCAAAUCGUACCCCAAACCGACACAGGUGGUCAGGUAGAGAAUACCAAGGCGCUUGAGAGAACUCGGGUGAAGGAACUAGGCAAAAUGGUGCCGUAACUUCGGGAGAAGGCACGCUGAUGGUAGGUGAAGCGACUUGCUCGUGGAGCUGAAAUCAGUCGAAGAUACCAGCUGGCUGCAACUGUUUAUUAAAAACACAGCACUGUGCAAACACGAAAGUGGACGUAUACGGUGUGACGCCUGCCCGGUGCCGGAAGGUUAAUUGAUGGGGUUAUCCGUAAGGAGAAGCUCUUGAUCGAAGCCCCGGUAAACGGCGGCCGUAACUAUAACGGUCCUAAGGUAGCGAAAUUCCUUGUCGGGUAAGUUCCGACCUGCACGAAUGGCGUAAUGAUGGCCAGGCUGUCUCCACCCGAGACUCAGUGAAAUUGAACUCGCUGUGAAGAUGCAGUGUACCCGCGGCAAGAGACGGAAAGACCCCGUGAACCUUUACUAUAGCUUGACACUGAACACUGGUCCUUGAUGUGUAGGAUAGGUGGGAGGCUUUGAAGUGUGGACGCCAGUCUGCAUGGAGCCAUCCUUGAAAUACCACCCUUUAAUGGCUGGUGUUCUAACGUGGGCCCCUGAUCGGGGUUGCGGACAGUGUCUGGUGGGUAGUUUGACUGGGGCGGUCUCCUCCUAAAGAGUAACGGAGGAGCACGAAGGUCAGCUAAUCCUGGUCGGACAUCAGGAGGUUAGUGCAAUGGCAUAAGCUGGCUUGACUGCGAGCGUGACGGCGCGAGCAGGUGCGAAAGCAGGUCAUAGUGAUCCGGUGGUUCUGAAUGGAAGGGCCAUCGCUCAACGGAUAAAAGGUACUCCGGGGAUAACAGGCUGAUACCGCCCAAGAGUUCAUAUCGACGGCGGUGUUUGGCACCUCGAUGUCGGCUCAUCACAUCCUGGGGCUGAAGUAGGUCCCAAGGGUAUGGCUGUUCGCCAUUUAAAGUGGUACGCGAGCUGGGUUUAGAACGUCGUGAGACAGUUCGGUCCCUAUCUGCCGUGGGCGCUGGAGAAUUGAGGGGGGCUGCUCCUAGUACGAGAGGACCGGAGUGGACGCAUCACUGGUGUUCGGGUUGUCAUGCCAAUGGCAUUGCCCGGUAGCUAAAUGCGGAAGAGAUAAGUGCUGAAAGCAUCUAAGCACGAAACUUGCCCCGAGAUGAGUUCUCCCUGACUCCUUGAGAGUCCUGAAGGAACGUUGAAGACGACGACGUUGAUAGGCCGGGUGUGUAAGCGCAGCGAUGCGUUGAGCUAACCGGUACUAAUGAACCGUGAGGCUUAACCUU